rnacentral:rRNA from 1 species
CACGUAGGCGGGUCCUUAAGUCGGGGGUGAAAUCCUGGAGCUCAACUCCAGAACUGCCUUCGAUACUGAGGAUCUCGAGUCCGGGAGAGGUGAGUGGAACUCCGAGUGUAGAGGUGAAAUUCGUAGAUAUUCGGAAGAACACCAGUGGCGAAGGCGGCUCACUGGCCCGGUACUGACGCUGAGGUGCGAAAGCGUGGGGAGCAAACA